rnacentral:rRNA from 1 species
CCCUUAGAUGUUCUGGGCCGCACGCGCGCUACACUGAUGCAUGCAGCAAGUCUUUUCCUUGGCCGAGAGGCCUGGGCAAUCUUUGAAUAUGCAUCGUGAUGGGGAUAGACGAUUGCAAUUAUUCGUCUUCAACGAGGAAUUCCUAGUAAACGCAAGUCAUCAGCUUGCAUUGAUUACGUCCCUGCCCUUUGUACACACCGCCCGUCGCACCUACCGAUUGAAUGGUCCGGUGAAGCCUCCGGAUUGGCGCGCACCUCGGUGCCGCCGAGAAGUUGGCUAAACCUUACCAUUUAGAGGAAGGUGAAGUCGUAACA